CUUGUGCAGCGCUACGCCCAGGAGAAGUUGGACGAGGAGCGAUCGCUGGCUGACCCCAGAGCCUUGCGCACUGCCGAGCUGGCCACGGCGGCCGGCGGUAGUAUCGAGGAGCGCGUGCGUUCCCGCGCCGGUGCCCGACAACGACAACACGACGCCAUGACUAGAAACUUUCUUAGCAAGUAGCAAGCAGUAAUGCAGUGAAGUCUGUUCAUAUGCACGCGAUGAAUUAUAUAGAUCCUUCAAUUAUUGUUCCUUCAUCUGACUGCUCACUGGUGGCCUGAAAGGAGAGUCUCAAACCCUUGAUGCAGUUGGCCUGAUUCAUCAUAAAUUUAGGCAUUAAAAAAAUACAUUCAAACGAACCUAUCGUCUUAAUAAAAGACCAAGCUUAUGCGACAGAACUAU